AGCCCCGUGGCCGAAUGGUUCAAGGCGCUAUUACGUCGCUUCUGAGAUUUCAGCCACGUUUUGUGGAGCGAUUGGAAGCGUUACUUCGCUAUCUGGAAGCAGAGAUUGUAGGUUCGAAUCCUACCGGGGCUA
rnacentral:tRNA from 1 species